rnacentral:lncRNA from 1 species
GAGAUUUUACGUUUCCAUAUCGUAUUAAAGGUUCAUAAUCUUGAUAAAACGUUAAUCUUUGGUAAUACUCCUUGCUGGUUCACGUUGAUUGUUCUAUUGAGUUAUAAGAAAUGAUUUUAAUUGCAUAUGGUUGCUCAUAAUAUUCUGCUCGUGCAUAGAGUCAUUUAUCAUUUCACCGAGUCCCGGGACGGGUAAUGUUCGUGCGGAGUUUCUUGCAUAUGUCACCGAGUUCCUCACUAGAGGGCCGGGUAUGUAUAUUAUAUAUAUGAUUGGUAAUGAGGAUGGUUAUGAUGAUGAUGAUGACGGAGAUGACGUGAUGGUUAUUUUGCCGAGCCCCUUACUAGGGAAGAUGGGCACCUUAUAUGUUAAAGAUAUGCAUGAUUUUCACUUAAAAGGGUACAUGUGUGGCGAUAUUUUGUUUUGACUUGCCAUAUUGGUAUCAUGUCAUCUUUACCUUAUGCUUUACAUACUCAGAACAUUGUCUGUACUGACCCCCCUUUCCUGGGGGGCUGCGUUUCAUGCCCGUAGGUGUAGACGCACAGUUCGGUGAUCCUCCCGCCUAGGAUAUCUACUCUGCUAAUUGGGAGACCUCCACUGUUCCGGAGCCCAGUCGUUUUGGUACAUAACUUUUGUGUAGUCUUUUGCUCGUCUAUGGGUAUGGCGGGGCCCUGUCCCGUCGAGUUUCACUAAUGUACUCUUAGAGGUCUGUGGACAUUAUGUGGGUUGUAUAUAUAUGUUUUGGAUAAUGGUCUGGACAUGGUUUGUUUGGGAUGUCCGCUUGUACAGGGGCAGCCUUGUCGGCUUACGUAUGUUAUUAUGCUUUGAAUAGUGGUGGCCUUGUCGGCUCGCGUAUGUUGUUAUGGUUAAAUGGUUAUGACUCCUUAUGAGACAGGUCCUCUUUAUAUAUAUAUGAAGUUGGGGUUGGCUUGAUUUGAUUAAAUUCCGUAUUGUCUUAGUUUCAGUUGGUUAUACUUAGCAGGUUUGUAUGUGGGUGUCAAAAACGGGCACUAGUCACGGCCCAUCGGGUUGGGUCGUGACACUUGAAUUGUAUGUCAUGCUUAGAUUAUGCCUAAAUGAAGUAUGUGUAUAUGUUGAGAAUGCUAGUCUGUGAGAAAUAAUAAAAGCAGGUUAAGAAUUCAAUAUUAAAUAAUGGUGCUUACAUGUACUCACACUUAUAAUUUGAAUGAUGAAUGAAUGAUUGAAGUUAAAGAAUGUGAAUGAAAUGAGGAGUUUUGGGGUGAGCCCUCAUUGUGAGUUUAGAUGAAGUGUUUAGUAACAAACUCACUACUUCGCAAGAGCUUUCUAAUUUAGGUUGGAGGAUGGACACCCAUUAAGAGUUGAGAUAGAGUGUCCAAUGUUAUCCUUGACCUGUAAUAAUGAAUGUUUAAGACUCAUUGAGGGAGUUAUGCUUAGUACCGAGAGGAUUUGUUAUGCCUCGUAUUUUUUUUAUACGUAGUGCGCAUCGUGAUCUAGAAGACAUAAAUAAAUAUUAGGCAAGGAUGUUAUUUCCAAAUGUGAUAUUAAGUAUGAGUUGGCUAAUGUAAGUGCCAUUAACUUUAAGUGAGGGAUUAAUUAGUGGCUAAUUUGGAUUAAUUUAAUCCAAUGGGCCCCACCACUCAUAAUUGGUGGCUGAUUAGGAUUAAUUUAAUCCAGUGGGGCCCACCACUCAAGGCAAAAAUUAAAAAGGGAUCAGAUUGUGGGCUGGCCUUAGUGGACAGGUGUAGAGGGGGGCUGCCUCCACUUCAUACUAUAAAAUGAGGUGGAGAAAUCCACUCCAUGCUAAAUAAAGUGGUGAAAUGCAUUGCUGCAUAUCAUCUUCUUCUUCACAACUUGUCUUAGGCAGCCAUGGAAAUGGAGAAACCAACCCUGCAACUCUUGGCCAGCAGCUGCAAAUAAUUUGUUUAGUAAUCUCCUUGUUUGGUGUGUUAAUUCUUUAGAAUACCCUUGUUAAUUAUCCAUUAAUUUUAUGAAGGGGGCGUGACCAGUAGCUUAGGAAGUUUGUUUUAGUUAUUGAAUGUGCUAAGUAUGAAUGGAAAUCAUAAUCGGAUUAUUAGUGGUGUCGUGUUGGUGCUUGGGCUGUUUGAUUAAAGCAAACUACUGGAAAAUUCUGUUUUGGCAUUAUGUAUAUGUUGAAUGUGAUUAUGAGUAUAUACUCCAAAGGAUGAAUACGAUAAGGUAGAUGUGUUACGAAUUAUAAAACGAGUUAUCACUCGGUGUGUCAUUGCUUCGCUGCUAUGGUUGCCAAGACGGAACUAUUUUGGGGAGGGGGCUGUUUAAUAUGAUUCUUUGGGUUAUAUGUGUUAUUGGUAUUGCUGUGGAUAAUUUGGAUUGUUGUCGGAUUGGGACGAAGUAAGGAAAAUAGGGGAGGUGCUGCCGAAUUUUUGUUAGAUUAUUAGCUAGCUUACAAGAAAGUAAAGCACGAUGUUUAUCUAAUUGCGGCACGAUUGUUGCUUGUUAUAGAUUAAUAGCUUGAGCAGUAAAUAUUGGACGUGGGGAUCGAUUAUACGAUAUGUAACGUUGUCCCUUCUCUCUUUGCUUGGCAUGACUUUUAAAAAUAAGCGAAUAACGGACAGAUUUGAUACUUAUCUCUAGAGCGUCUAGGUGACGUAUAUUCUUGCUUCCACAAUUAUUCCUCUAUAUAUCAGCUAUGUCUAAGGCUAUGAUGAUCUCUAAUAUCUAUGGUAAUUCUUCUUAGAGUCAUUGAGAUUUUACGUUUCCAUAUCGUAUUAAAGGUUCAUAAUCUUGAUAAGACAUUAAUCUUUUGUAAUACUCCUUGCUGGUUCAUGUUGAUUGUUCUAUUGAGUUAUAAGAAAUGAUUUUAAUUGCAUAUGGUUGCUCAUAAUAUUCAGCUCGUGCAUAGAGUCAUUUAUCAUUUCACCGAGUCUCGGGCCGAGUAAUGUUCGUGCGGAGUUUCUUGCAUAUGUCACCGUGUUCCUCACUAGAGGGCCAUGUAUGUAUAUUAUAUAUAUGAUUGGUGAUGAGGAUGGUUAUGAUGAUGAUGAUAACGGAGAUGACGUGAUGAUUAUUUUGCCGAGCCCCUUACUAGGGAAGCUGGGCACCUUAAAUGUUAAAUAUAUGCAUGAUUUUCAGUUAAAAGGGUACAUGUGUCGUGAUAUUUUGUUUUGACUUGCCAUAUUGAUAUAAUGUCAUCUUUACCUUAUGCUUUACAUACUCAGCACAUUGUCCGUGCUGUCUUUUGGGCUGACUAAUGCUCCAGCGGUGUUCAUGGAUUUAAUGAAUCGAGUAUUUAAACCAUUCCUUGAUAUGUUUGUUAUUGUAUUUAUAGACGAUAUUCUGGUCUAUUCACGUUCAGAAGAGGAGCAUGCAGAUCAUUUAAGGACGGUACUUAGGGUGCUUCAGCACCAGAAGUUGUAUGCUAAAUUUUCUAAGUGCGAGUUCUGGUUGACUUCAGUGGCAUUCUUGGGGCAUAUUAUUGGAGCUGAUGGUAUUCGGGUAGACAUGCAGAAGAUUGAGGCAGUAAAGACUUGGCCCAGACCUACGAUACCUACUGAGGUACGCAGCUUUUUGGGGUUAGCAGGAUAUUACAGGAGAUUCGUAGAAAAGUUUGCCUCAAUUUCAGCGCCUUUGACAAGGUUAACUCAAAAGGCAGCCAAGUUCCAGUGGACUGAUGCUUGUGAGCGAAGCUUCCAGCUAUUGAAAGACAAAUUGACUACAGCUCCAGUCCUAACUCUUCCGGAGGGACCAGACGGCUAUGUUAUUUAUUGUGAUGCUUCGGGUGUUGGGCUAGGAUGUGUAUUGAUGCAGCAUGGAAAAGUUAUAGCCUAUGCCUCCCGACAACUUAGGAAGCAUGAAAAGAACUAUACUACUCACGAUCUGGAGUUAGCGGUGGUGGUUCAUGCCUUGAAGAUAUGGAGACAUUAUUUAUAUGGUGUCCAUGUGGACAUCUAUACAGAUCAUAAGAGUCUCCAAUAUAUCUUUAAACAGAAGGAGCUGAACUUACGACAGAGGCGGUGGUUAGAGUUGCUAAAGGAUUAUGAUGUUGAUAUUUUAUAUCAUCCAGGGAAAGCGAAUGUUGUAGCAGAUGCUCUUAGCCGUAAGUCCAUGGGUAGCUUGGCAGAUGUACAACCAGAAGGGAGGGAUAUGGUUCGGGAGAUUCAGCGGCUAUCGAGCCUUGGAGUCCGUCUAGCUAAUUCGGAAGAUAGUGGAGUUUCUAUUCGAGAGGUUAUUGAGCCCUCAAUCAUAGAUGAGGUAAAGAGACACCAAUACAAGGACCCUAUUCUGGCACAGUAUAGAGAUGCAACUCUUCAAAAGGAAAAGACCCCAUUUAAUGUUACACUUGACGGAGUGUUACGAUAUGAAGGCAGAUUGUGUGUACCCGAUACUGCAGGGCUACGACGGCAGGUUAUGGGAGAGGCACACUCUGCCCAUUAUUCUAUUCACCUAGGGUCAACAAAAAUGUAUCAUGACCUCAGAUGCUUAUAUUGGUGGGAUGGCAUGAAAAAGGACAUAGCGGAGUUUGUUGCUUAGUGCCCAAAUUGUCAAAAAGUCAAGAUCGAACAUCAAAAGCCUGGUGGAUUAUUACAGGAGAUAGAGAUCCCGACUUGGAAAUGGGAGAUGAUUAAUAUGGACUUCAUUACAGGCUUACCUCGCACUCAACGGAAGUAUGACUCUAUAUGGGUUAUUGUAGAUAGGCUGACGCAAUCGGCCCAUUUUCGUCCAGUCAGGACUACUUAUUCGGCUGAAGAUUAUGCGAGGUUAUAUGUCAGGGAGAUAGUGAGGCUUCAUGGGGUUCCCACGUCCAUUAUAUCAGACAGAGGAGCUCAAUUUACAGCCAACUUUUGGAGAUCGUUUCAGAAGGGAUUGGGGACACAGAAGAACCUUAGGACAACAUUUCACCCUCAGACUGAUGGGCAGACUGAGCGUACUAUUCAGACACUAGAAGAUAUGUUGCGGGCCUGUAUUAUUGACUUCAAAGGCAGCUGGGAUGACCACUUGCCGCUCAUUGCCUAUAAUAAUAGCUACCAUUCUUGUAUCCAGAUAGCACCGUACGAGACCUUAUAUGGGAGGAAGUGCAGAUCACCUAUUGGUUGGUUUGAUGUUGGCGAGACUAAGUUAAUAGGCCCGAAUGUGAUUCAACAAUAUUUUUACAAGGUGAAGCUUAUUCAAGAAAGAUUAUUAGCAGCCCAGAGUCGACAAAAGUCAUAUGCAGAUAAUCAGCGUCGAGAUUUGGAGUUUCAGAUUGGUGACUAGGUAUUCCUGAAGGUAUCACCCAUGAGGGGUGUGAUGAGAUUCGGGAGGAAGGGGAAGCUCAGUCUGAGAUACAUUGGGCCUUAUCAGAUUGUUUGUAGAAUAGGCAAGGUUGCCUAUGAGUUGGAUCUACCAUGUGAUUUGGAGGCGGUACAUCCAGUCUUCCAUGUAUUGAUGCUACGUAAAUGUAUUGGUGAUCCUUCUAGAGUAUUCCCUGUAGAUGAUAUUCAAGUAACAGAGGAGUUGUCAUAUAAGGAGAAACCCGUGGCUAUACUUGAUCGUCAGGUUAGUAGGUUACGUACUAAGGAUGUGGCUUCCGUCAGAGUGUUGUGGCAAAAUAACAAUAGGGAGGAAAUGACUUGGGAAGCGGAAGACGAAAUGAAGAAUAAGUAUCCUUUACUUGUUCCCCGUACCUGCAGGUAAUUCAAUUACUAGCUUGACUAUAUUGAUAGAUAAUGAGAUUAUGUAGCUGUGAGGCAUCUGUAAGUUAUGGAAUGCAGGUUGAUAGGUAUAACUUUUAGAGAGACCUCGCUGGAAUUUGUUUUUGCAAGACGCUAACUUAACAUUCGAGGACAAAUAUUCCUAAGGGGGGAAGGAUGUUAUGCCUCGUAUUUUUUUUAUACGUAGUGCGCAUCGUGAUCUAGAAGACGUAAAGAAAUAUUAGGCAAGGAUGUUAUUUCCAAAUGUGAUAUUAAGUAUGAGUUGGCUAAUGUAAGUGCCAUUAACUUUAAGUGAGGGAUUAAUUAGUGGCUAAUUUGGAUUGAUUUAAUCCAAUGGGCCCCACCACUCAUAAUUGGUGGCUGAUUAGGAUUAAUUUAAUCCAGUGGGCCCCACCACUCAAGGCAAAAAUUAAAAAGGGAUCAGAUUGUGGGCUGGCCGUAGUGGACAGGUGUACAGGGGGGCUGCCUCCACUUCAUACUAUUAAAUGAGGUGGAGAAACCCACUCCAUGCUAAAUAAAGUGGUGAAAUGCAUUGCUGCAUAUCAUCUUCUUCUUCACCACUUGUCUUAGGCAGCCAUGGAAAUGGAGAAACCAACCCUUCAACUCUUGGCCAGCAGCUGCAAAUAAUUUUGUUAGUAAUCUCCUUGUUUGGUGUGUUAAUUCUUUAGAAUACCCUUGUUAAUUAUCCAUUAAUUUUAUGAAGGGGGCGUGACCAGUAGCUUAGGAAGUUUGUUUUAGUUAUUGAAUGUGCUAAGUAUGAAUGGAAAUCAUAAUCGGAUUAUUAGUGGUGUCGUGUUGGUGCUUGGGUUGUUUUGAUUAAAGCAAACUGAGGAAAAUUGUGUUUUGGCAUUAUGUAGAUGUUGAAUGUGAUUAUGACUAUAUACUCCAAAGGAUGAAUACGAUAAGGUAGAUGUGUUGCAAAUUAUAAAACGAGUUAUCGCUCGGUGUGUCGUUGCUUCACUGCUAUGGUUGCCAAGACGAAAAUGUUUUGGGUAGGGGGCUGUUUAAUAUGAUUCUUUGGGUUAUAUGUGUUAUUGGUAUUGCUGUGGAUAAUUUGGAUUGUUGUCGGAUUGGGACGAAGUAAGGAAAAUAGGGGAGGUGCUGCCGAAUUUUCGUUAGAUUAUUAGCUAGCUUACAAGAAAGUAAAGCACGAUGUUUAUCUAAUUGCGGCAUGAUUGUUGCUUGUUAUAAAUUAAUAGCUUGAGCAGUAAAUAUUGGACGUGCGGCUCGAUUAUAUGGUAUGUAACGCUGUCCCUUCUUUCUUUGCUUGGCAUGACUAUUAAUAAUAAGCGAAUAACGGAUAGAUUUGAUACUUAUCUCUAGAGCGUCUAGGUGACGUAUAUUCUUGCUUCCACAAUUAUUCCUCUAUAUAUCGGCUAUGUCUAAGGCUAUGAUGAUCUCUAAUAUCUAUGGUAAUUCUUCUUAGAGUCAUUGAGAUUUUACGUUUCCAUAUCGUAUUAAAGGUUCAUAACCUUGAUAAAACAUUAAUCUUUGGUAAUACUCCUUGCUGGUUCACGUUGAUUGUUCUAUUGAGUUAUAAGAAAUGAUUUUAAUUGCAUAUGGUUGCUCAUAAUAUUCUUCUCGUGCAUAAAGUCAUUUAUCAUUUUACCGAGUCCCGGGCCGGGUAAUGUUCGUGCGGAGUUUCUUGCAUAUGUCACCGAGUUCCUCACUAGAGGGCCGGGUAUGUAUAUUAUAUAUAUGAUUGGUGAUGAGGAUGGUUAUGAUGAUGAUGAUGACGGAGAUAACGUGAUGAUUAUUUUGCCGAGCCCCUUAAUAGGGAAGCUGGGCACCUUAAAUGUUAAAUAUAUGCAUGCUUUUCACUUAAAAGGGUAUAUGUGUAGCGAUAUUUUGUUUCGACUUGCCAUAUUGGUAUCCUGUCAUCUUUACCUUAUGCUUUACAUACUCAGUACAUUGUCCGUACUGACCCCCCUUUCCUCGGGGGGGCUGCGUUUCAUGCCCGCAGGUGUAGACGCACAGUUCGGUGAUCCUCCCGCCUAGGAUAUCUACUCUGCUAAUUGGGAGACCUCCACUGUUCCGGAGCCCAGUUGUUUUCGUACAUAACUUUUGUGUAGUCUUUUGCUUGUCUAUGGGUAUGGCGGGGCCCUGUCCCGUCGAGUUUCACUAAUGUACUCUUAGAGGUCUGUGGACAUUAUAUGGGUUGUAUAUAUAUGUUUUGGAUAAUGGUCUGGACAUGGUUUGUUUGGGAUGUCCGCUUGUACAGGGGCAGCCUUGUCGGCUGCGUACAUCAUUGUGUAUUGUGUAGUGGCAGCCUUGUCGGCAUACGUAUGUUAUUAUGCUUUGAAUAGUGGCGGCCUUGUCGGCUCGCGUAUGCUGUUAUCGUUGAAUGGUUAUGACUCCUUAUGAGACAAGUCCUCUUAUAUAUAUAUGACGUUGGGGUUGGCUUGAUUUGAUUAAAUUCCAUAUUGUCUUAGUUUCAGUUGGUUAUACUUAGCAGGUUUGUAUGUGGGUGUCCAAAACGGGCACUAGACACGGCCCAUCGGGUUGGGUCGUGACAGGAUUUGAAGAAGGAGUGGGUUCACAGUGUGAGUAAAUAUGUUAUUUCUAAUGUACCACUUGAUAUGAGUACUCCUCUUUAGUAGAGAGUAAGUUACUUAGAAGCAAUAUCCUUACCACUUAAUUAUGCGCCCGCAUAGGUGUAAGUACUAGAAAAUUCAGUUAAAAGCUAAGAGAAAGACGCCACCCUAGGCAAGUGGGGAGCCCUAAUACGAUAAGGGUAGUAUGGGGAUUCCAUGUAUAUCUCUCAUGGUCUAUGUCAUUUAAACCUAUUCCCCCACAAAAGAACGAAUGCACAAAGUCUCCUAAAAGAACGUACUACUUAGGGUACGUGGUGGUAGGGAAGUUAUCUAUCGAUUGUAGUAUGUAAACCUUCCAAAAGGGGAGUCUUGGUGUGUUUUAUAUUAAAUGUAUGAACUAAGUCUCCUAAAAGAACAUACUACUUAGGGUAUGUGGUGGUAUGGGAUGCUAUUUACCCAUUGCACUAAGUAGAUAUGCCGAAAGUGGAGUCUUGGUGUGUUCUAUCAUGUGUUGUAAAUGACGUUAGGUAAGUUAAGUUCUAAUUUUAAGGAAUUAUGUUAAAGCUAUAUUUUAUGUGAUGAAUUUAGGAGUGACUAAUGUAGAGUGCUUGAUUCAAGGGAAUCCUCAAGGAGCACUAAGUGGGAGUAGUAGUAAGGGAUGCUACUAUCGCAUAGCACUUAGUUUAACUUAUAUGUCCUAUUAGAGAAGGGUACUUACAUGUAAUCAUUCUUGUAUGAGUAUCAUGCAAAUGUCAAACCAAGAGUGUGGACAUAUUUUCCUAGCCGAGGUAAGCCCAUAGUUCGUAGUGUUAAGGAUUGUUUUGUGUGUCUUGAAGGGGGUGUAUGGGCUGUCCCUUCUUGUGUUAUCUUAGGGAAUCUUAGGAUAACUUGUUUAGGGAAACCUUAAGGAAAAUGAUUUCACAAUGCUUGGGAAGCAUGGUUCACUGUAAGGUUUCUCUAUGUUUCACUGUUUCACUGUAAAUGGACUACUAUUACUGUAAAAUUACUGUUUGGUUCUAAAAUUAUGACAAUUCUAUUUUUUAUGAUAAAUGAUUAUUUGAUACUAUUUUAAAUCUAUAAUCAUAAAAGUUUUACUUAUUUGUCAUGAAAGUUUAUUUUACUAAAUUGCAUAUUUUUUAAUAUGUCAUACUUAGUACAUUGUUUUGUACUAACCCCAUGCUUUUAAAUACUUAAUAAGUAUAGGUUGGAGGCGUUUGAAGACUAGCAUACAAUGUUUUGGAAUCUAUCCUCUCAAGAUUGGGUAUGUCCUCUUAUAUUCGAGAACAUAGUUCUAUUUCUUAAUAUCUAUAGUUAAGACUUAUUAUGUAUUUUCAUCUAAUGUAAAGGGUCGUAUCUCUAAGAUAUUUAUGUCGAGUCUUUAAGUUUUCUUAUCAAAACGAGAUCAAUCCUUAGCUUUUAUGAAAGAUGUUUUCUUUAUUAAUUUAUUCAUGAAAAGUUUUAAUUCCACAAUACUUUUUAUGUCUUUUGUAAUGAAUGAUAUUUAAGGUUUCUACAAGGCCUCCGAAAGGUCAAGUACGCCAUUGUUCCAACCUAAGGGUGCUCCUUUUUUAGGGAUAUUUUUGGGUUGUUACAGACUUGGUAUCAGAGCAUAAGUUAUGGGAAAUAGUUUAGGGUGUAAAGUCUGAUAAUCCACUUCUAGUAAGUUCUUGUUCAUUGGUGUGAGUCGUGACACAUCCAUAAAUGAGAGUCUAUAAGAUGAUAAAUGUUUUACUUUCUUCAUUAUUCUAAUGUCAUGUCCUAGACUUGAGUUCUAUAAGAUGUCUCUCUCAACCUCUUCUCUUUGUGUUUAUAGGACUUGAAUAUGAGGAGAGAAACCGCUAGGAGGGCGCAGGAAUGUGUAGCUAAUAAGAGGAUCCAUCCCCGUGUUGACCAAGUCCCUAUAGUUGACCAAGUGAAUGUGAAAUGAGGCAGUUCUCCCUCCAGAACCUCAAAGUACCCAAGGACCUCAUAUUCCCCCAAUGCCUCAAGCUCCUUUCGUUGAAGGGGGAUAUGACUAAUGCAGAGUUGAGGGCUGCCCUAAUGAAUUUUACCCAACUCAUGAUGGCUCAAGCUCAAGUCGUGACGAAUCAUUUUGUUGCCCAUGGUAUCCAACGAGAUAGAUCUCAACCUAAUGUUAGAAGUCCUACUUCUAGGAUUCAGGAUUUCAUGAUAAUGAAGCAUCCUACUUUCCAUGGAACUAAUGUGAAUUAAGUUCCACAAAGCUUCAGAGAUAAGAUAUUCUAGGUCGUAGAUGCUAUGGGUGUUACCCCUAGGGAGAGAGAGAAGCUAGCCACUUACCAACUCAACGAUGUGGCUCCAGUGUAGUUUGAGCAAUUGAGGGAUGAAAGACCUUGAAGGGAUAGUCUGGUAGAUUGGGAAUUGUUCAAAGAGGCUUUUCUAUAUAGGUUCUUUCCUUUAGAGUAGAGUGAGAAGAAUAUGGUAUACUUCAUGAAUCUUCGUCAAGGGGGAAUGAAUGUGAAAGAAUACCCUUUGAAAUUCACCCAGUUCUCUAAGUAUGCCCCAACCAUGGAAGCCAACCCUAGAGCUAGUAUUAACAAAUUUAUGAUGGGAGUGUCUAGCUUGGUGGAAAAGGAGUGUCGUAUGACAAUGCCCCUUAAUGACAUGGAUAUCUCUAGACUAAUGGUGUAUGCACAACAAAUUGAGGAGUCCAAAAUUAUGGACAUAAGGCAAGAGGGGAAGAAGCCUAGGUUUGAUGAAUCUAGUCAAGAAAAACCUAAGAGGAGGUUCUAUCACCAAGAUUAUUUGAUAUAGAACAAGUAUAGAGUUUCCAACCAAAAUUCCCAAGGUGGUGGGCAUACAUUUGAGACACCUAUGUGUACUACUUGUGCGAAGAAACACUUGAGUUAGUGUCUUGCCGGAACGGAUGUUCGCUUUGAAUGUUGUUGUAAUACUCACAAGAUAAGGGACUGCCCCAACAUCAAUUCAAAAUGAAAAGGGGUCAAUCAAGCUCAUCUAUAUCGUAAUUCUCCAUAGAAGAAACAUCCCUAUGGGAUAGGAGCUACCAGGGAGAACUAGUCCUGAUUUGAUAGUCUCGGUAUGUCUUAACCCUUUAUGAUUGUUGUGUAUAUGUUAUAAGAUAAUUUUAUGUGAUUUUAUUUUCCUUAUGUUCAUGCCUUCUUUAUAAAUUGCUUAAAGGAGAAAUUGUUGAAAAUCAUGCAUGUUUCACUAUGUGAGGAUUGAUGGUCAUUGUAAAAUUUUGAUCUUUGAGGAAAAAUUUCAUUUUCAUGAAUAAUGGUUCAUAUGUGUUUAAAAUGGUUUUUAUGAGCAUUUGUAAUGUUCAAGAAUGUAGUUACUCCACAUAAUGAAGAAUUAAGUGUGUUCUUGAAUUUGGAAGUUUCCUUUUAAAAGUUGCAUGUGUUGCUUAGCGAAGUGCUUAUAAUGGUGCAAUUGUGUUCCUUGUAUCAAUGUUUGAACCUUUAUUUGGUGUGAUAAAUGCUUCAUUUAAUGUCCUUAGUGUUCUUAAAAGAGUUUAGAGUGAUAAAUGCUUCAUUUAAUGUCCUUAGUGUUCUUAAAAGAGUUUAGUGUCAUUCGAGGACGAAUAUUGUUCUAAGUGGGGGAUAAUGUAACACCCUAAAACGAACUAAGGCGAACUAGAGCUUAGUGAAUGUUUCAUGAGUUAGUUUUGUGUUAAUAUGAGUUAUAUUGAUUUUCUUAGGCAGUUUGUGAAGUUUGGUAACAUUUGGAGGUUAAACGUCCAUGACGUUCGAAAGCUGUGUCUUAGAAAGUACUUGUGUGUCUUGAUGUGUUAUAGUUAUUCUUACGUGUUUGUUUUAAUCAAAAUUGAGGUUAAAUAUUUCUAAGAAACAUACAACUUUGUAAAGGGGUUUAAAGUUUGAUUAAGACUCCACCUAGGACCCACGAGGGGCCCUACAGAAGAACCCAAGAAUUGGAUCCAAAACUGCCAAAACAGUCUCAACCAAUGAACUAGUCGACCAAUCGACGGCUCAUCGACUUUAUCCAUCGAUUGGACCUUCAUCCUGCACAAUUUUUGAUAUUCACUUCAAAACCACGAUCCACCAUCAACGCGACAUCCAUGCAUCGACGGUCCAUCAUUGAUGGGCGUCAAUGGUGGUCCUGCAAAAGGUGUUGGACGCGGCUACCUUGGCUUGGUGUUUUUUGUAAAUUCACCCCAAGUAUUAUAUGAACCUAGGAGAAAUUUUUUAGUAUUUUUAAGUUAUAUUAUAUUAGUUUUAAGUCAUAGACCUACACAAGAACCCUCACUUCAAAUAUUUAAACUCUCUCUUUAAAGACAAACACUUUCAAGUCACCAUUGGAUCAGAGACUUAAGCAAGAGAUAGGAGGGCUGGUUGGACGUGUUUCUUAAUCAAAAUUAGUGGGUUUCCUUCUUAUUUAGGUAUGGUAGUCAUCCUUGAAUCCUCUUACAUUCAAGGAGUCAUAUUUAAAAUAUUUCAUAAGGGUUUUGAAACUCCAUCUUCUCGUAGUUUUAUUCUAAGGAUGAGUCUUCAUGUAAAAGUGUUGUAAUUGUUCAAAUUGGUUGUUUCUAUUAUUUUUUUGAUUAUUUAAAUUUUAAAAACCUAAUGAACUAAUGUUUAUGCAUAUUUAAAACUUUAGCUUACAAAUGAGUUAAAUGAACAUGUUUGUGUAGGGUAUGAACUUCGGUUUUCUUAUGUUGUUAUUAUGGUUUAGCUACUGCCUUAAGGGCCAUAUUUUGAUAAAAUAUGAAUAAUUGGAUAUAGGUGAUCAAAUAUUGUGGAAAUGGUGUAUAUAUAUCUAUAUCUAUAUACAUAUAUAUAUAUAUGUGUGUGUGUGUGUCGUGAGUGUGGCUUUGAAGGCGUAAGGUGUGAAAUGAAGUUAUAAUGAUGAGGUUCAUGUUCAUAUGUAUUACGAAGCUUGCCUUGUAUGUAUUGCUUAGACUAUGCCUAAAUGAAGUAUGUGUAUAUGUAGAGAAUUCUAGUGUGUGAGAAAGGAUGAAUAAAGGGUGAGCAUGUUUAGAAUUCAAUAUUAAUUAACAUGAUGAUUGAUCUGAAAGGUGUACAUACACACUCAGAUUUUAAAUGAUGAAUGAAUGGUUGAAGUUAAUAAAUGUGAAUUACUUCGUAUCAAUCUCCUUAUCCCUUAACUAUGUGGCCACAUAGGUGUAGGUAUUGGAAAAUCAAUGUAAAAUCUAAGAGAAAUACCCCACCCUAGGAAAUUGGAGAACCAUCAUUUGAUAAGGGUAGUAUCGGGAAUCCAUGUCUAACUCUACUUUUCUAUGUUUGUUAAAACUAUUCCCCCACAAAAGAAUUAAUGCACUAAGUCUCCUAAAAGAACGUAAUACCUAGGAUAGGUGGUUGUAUGAGACGUUAUCUAUCCAUUGAACUAGGUAGACCUUUCGAAAAGAGAGUCUUCGUGUGUUUCAUAUUAAAUGGAUGAACUAACUCUCCUAAAAGAACGUACUACUUGGGGUAGGUGGUGAUAUGGGAUGCUACCUAUCCAUUGCACUAAAAAGGCCUUUUAUAAAGGGGGAGCUUUGAUGUUUAGGAAGUAUGUUGAAGCUAGUUUUAUGUGAUGAAGUUAGGAGUGAUUAAUGUAGAGUGCUUAAUCCAAGGGAAUCCUCAAAGAUCACUAAGUAGGAGUAGUAAUAUAGGAUGAUAUUCUCACAUUGCACUUAGUGUAACUUAUUGGUCCUAUUGGAGAAGGGUUCUUAUAUGAAAUACUUCGUGUAUGAGUGUCUUUCAAAUAUAUAAUCAAGAGUGUGGACUUGUUAUCCCAGCCGAGGUAAGCCUAUGACUGGUUGUCUUAAGGAUCGUUUUACUGUGUCUUGAAAGGGGUAUAUGGGCGCUACCUACUUCUCUUACCUUAGAGAAUCUUAGGAUGAAUUGGUUAUAAAAAUCAGAAGGUAAAUGAUUCGACUAUGCUUGGGAAGAAUGGUUCACUGUUACGUUUCUCUAUGUUUCAUUGUUUUACUGUAAAAUUACUUCGGUUACUGUAUGUUCUAAAAUUAUGAGAUUCUAUUUUAUAUGAUAAAUGAUCUGUAACAUUUUGUAAAUCCAAGACGUGUUAUAGAGGCUAAAAUAAGUAUACUAAGGUUUAGACAUUGUUUGAAGGUCCACUUUAAUAAAUAUGUCAUUUAGGAAGUCUAGAAACCAAAAUGUCCAAGAACGUGCAGGACAUCCAGAAACUAGUUCAAGGAGGUAGUAGUGUGCAUUAGCUUAUUUGACUAGCUUUUAGAAGAUGGAGAAUGAUUAAUAUUGUUUGAGGGUGAACAUAUGUUUAAGUUGAUUCAUGGUCAAAAUGUAAGUGUACGACUCCCCAAGAACCAACCAAGGGCCCUUGAGGAGGACCAUUACAAGAGUGGGCAAAAGUAGUCAAAAGUCAAUGUCACCAACGGAUGCCAUAGAGGGGAUGUUGGUGAAUCGACGGGGAGUCGAUGGUCACUUUGACAAAAUAAUGGAGGGGUCAUUUUUCAUAGCCUAUGAACUCACCUACAGAUGUGCAGCACGGAAGAAGGGACUAGCUGUUUAUGGACAAACGAUCCGUCAAUCGUGGUCUCAUCGAUGAGGUCUGUGUUUUGAUGCAUGUUUUGACUUGAUCCUCUAAUUAGUUGACUUAGUUACGAAGUAAAUUAAUGAUUAGGGAAAGACCAAUUAAGUGAUUUUACCCCCUAUAUAACGUCCUAACCUAAUUAAGACUAACUAAACUCUCAUAACUCACAAACCCAAAACUCCCUUCCUUCUUUCUUCUUUCUCUCUCUAGUGAAGAACACCAUUGAAUACCAAUAUAGGGGAGGGUUUAAGUGAUGAAAAGGGACAAUUUUCUCCAUAAAUAUUCAUCAAUUAAUAAGGUAUGGGAUCGAAUUCACCAUUGAGGCCUCUUUCCUCAAAGGGUACUAUCAAAUUGAUUUUCAAAAAUUAAGUUUUCAUGUGGGUUUCAUUCAAUGUCGAAAAUUAUGUUAUGAAUUGAUUGUUUUUAUGCUUUUGGAUAUUAUGGAUAUAUUAACAUGUUUCUAACUCAAUUUUAUGAUAUAUCUUGAUGGAUUGGUCUAAUUUGUAGAAGAUGACUCUUACCCCUUAACCCUAGGUUUUCAUCUUGAUAUGAAUCAGGUUGUAUUGGUUCAAUUGGCUUUGUUAUUGGUUGAAUUACUACUAGAUGAUGUUUUUACACUAAUCAUGUAUGAAUUAGGGUUAUUUGUAGUCAUGGUAGUUCUUGAUAAUAUGAUCUAGAUUAUGAAGUAUAUUGUUAAUUGAUCUAACUAUCUUGUCUUAAGGUAUGGUCUAGUAUUGAAUCGUGAAGUAGUGAUUCUUCUUGCUUUUUUAUCAUGUUGGUUAUUGACUUAUGAUAAUGUAAACCCAAAUUAGGUUGAAUUGAGGGUUUUCGGUAAGAUAUUGAUGGUGAACUAUGAAGAAGACUAGGUAAUUCUUAUGAUCCCUAUCCUUUACUUCAAAUUAUGGUUAAUUGUUAUUAAGUCAUAAUGUUGUAUUGGAGUAUACCUUUUAUUAGGAUUGAUAGGAUGGAUGAUGUUGAAUUUAAAUAACUUGACUAUGAUGUAUGAGGUGUCUGCUUAAGAUAUAAAUUCAUAAGAAUGAUGAAUGAUUUACAAAUAUGGCUUAUCAUGAUAUGAAAAUAUUAAUGCGCUAGCCUCACCUAUAUCAAUUAUAAUGAAAUGACAAUCUUAUGCAAUUCUUUUUGAGAUAUUAUGAUGAUGAUGUUAUACAAGGGUUAUAACAUAUGACCUACAAUAAGUUAUAAUGAUUAAUAAAGACAUUAAAGACAUUUCAAAAAGGGACUCUAGCUUAGAGUCGAGUAAACUAGAGUGAGGAGUGUCCCAUCCCACAUAGGGAAGGUAGGAUCAUGAAUGUACUAUUGAUAUUGGAGACUACAAUGGAUGUAAAAUAAAAAGGGGCCCAACUAUAUCUCCUAGCUCUUGAACUAUGUUGCCCCAAUAGGAACACUAGCUAGUGGAUCCAUGUAGUUACUAUGUUCAUGUUCUCGUAAUACAUUGGCAAGUGGUCCUCCUUCUUUUAGUGUAGGCUUCCAUGACACUGGACUCCAUAUUAGAUCAUGUGGUCUAUGUCGGUUAGGAGAAGAUUUUCCCAAAAGGUAAAAUGAACGAAAGGAUUGAACUCUAACUAAUAUGACCUAUGGGGUUUAGCUUAUUUUAGGUAGGGGUAUGGGACUCUACUUAAACAUUGCACUAGUUGUACUUGAAGGGAGUCUUAGGAGGAUAUUCUUAUGUAUAAAAAUAUUUAUAAUUUUAUAUUACAUGUAUAUGAUGAACUUUCACAUUUUUGAUACUAUAUGUUGAUUGGUGUGACUUAUGAAUAUGUGAUGAUAUAUAUUGUUAAAUUAUAAUGUUAUGUACUUUUAAAUGUUAUGAUAUGUGAAGUAAUAUGUAGUCAUGAUGCUUGUUGGGCUACUUGAUUGAGUAAGGUUAUGGUGAUUUGCUUAGUCAUUGCACUUGACUUUAUAGGGGUUCAUAGGUAAUUACCUUUCUUUAGUCAUGUUGAAAGGUAUUCUUAUUCAUGCUUGUUACUAUUAUGAAUUGAUGAUAGAGAUUCUUGGCUAUGUAUUCAACUAUAUGCUAUGCAUGUUCACUUGACUAGAUUUGGUGUUUUUUUUUCUUGUGAUGUACAUGCCUAUGACCUACUGAACUUGUCCUAUUUAUUGGUAUGGUCUUGUUGAAUACUAGUAUGUGUUUUCAAAGUAAAAUGCAUUUCUUUAUGAAAUGUCCCUUUUCUUAGCAUGAUUUAAAAGUAUGUGUGCAUAUGGUCUCAUACUUAGUACAAGUGGUGUACUAACCCUAUUUUUUCCUUUUUCCCAACAUUUUAGGUUCCGGUCGGUUGAGUGGUAUUGAAGGCGACUUGAAGAAGGCUUGGAUCCCUUGAUCAUUCAUGUAAGGUAGGUCCUCACACACUGAGUGCGAUGCAACUAUCUAUCUAAUGGAUUUUAUGAGUUUAAAACUUCAUGUUCCUUUCUUUUCCAUUUAGUAUGAAGCAUUGUAUAGUCCAUGUGAGGCAUUCUUUCAUAUAUGUAUGGGUUAUGAUAAAUUUCUUACACUCUUAUUAUAUGGUUAUUAGAUGACUAUUAUUUUUUGUAUACUUAUGUGCAAUAAAAUUAGAAGACUAAUGAAUCUCCCUGUAUGAAGGUUUAUGUAUACUCAAUAUAUAUAUACUAUGUGUACGAAGAUGUCUAUGCAAACCUUCGAGUAGAUGUACUAAAAAGUUGUAAAUUUUCUGCUAAAUUUUACCUAGACUGUAAUAAUGUAAGAUAAGAGACUAGUCUUAUUCUUUAAAAAGGAUGACGAUGCCGGUUAUGUCUAGGGGCUAUUCCUGGAUGUGACAAACUUUAUAUCAUAGCAUGAGGUUAAAUAUCGUUGUUUCGAUGUCUCUCUCAACCAUGUCUAUGAAGGUUCAUAUUCAUAAUUGUGAUGCGCUCCGCACUUAUGAAUAGGCAUUUACGAGUGCUUAGGAUACUCUCACUUCCUUGAAAGUACAAUAUCAAGCCUUUAGGGUGUUAACUUUAUGUGCUUUUGCAUCUUAUCUUCUUAUUAUGAUUAUAGUCAAUGAAUACUCAAAGGAAUGCGGUACAAAGACAUGAAAAAGAGAUUGCCAAUGCGAGUGUUCCUCUCUGUAGUGAUCAAAUACCUCCUCUUGAGAAAAAUGUGAAUGAUAUCCAAGCCCCGGUGAAUCCUCCCACUUUGACGGAUCUGAACAUAAGGGUCGCUCUCCUUCAAAUGGCCAAAUCAUUACUAUCCAAGCACAAGCCGCCACUACUCAAGCCCAAGCCAUGAUGGCCCAAUAUAAUUAGGAGGUUGUAACCCGAGCUCAUCAACAAGUUUCUACAGUGGCCUCUCGUCUUAGUGAUUUCACAAGGAUGAACCCUCCUACUUUCUAUGGGUCCAAGGUUGAAGAAGACCCCGAAGAGUUCAUCGAUGUAAUCAACAAAAUCCUCUAUGAUAUGAGGUUUUCUACUAGUAAGAAGGUCGAGUUAUCCACCAAUGAAAUCAAGGAUGUGGAUAAAUCAUGGUAUAUCCAAUGGAGGGACAAUAGGCCUUUAAGAGGUUGAAUCGUGACUUGGGAAGUGUUCAAGAAGGCUUUUCUUGAUCGGUUUCUUUCCUAAGGAGAAAAGGGAUGUUAAAUUUGUGUAGUUCAUCAACCUUUGCCAAGGAAGUAUGAAUGUUCAUUAAUACACCUUGAAAUUCACAGAAUUGUCAAGAUAUGCUCCUUCUUUGAUUUUUCCGGUCCUUGAGAUAAAUUGAGCCAUUUUAUGAUGGGAGUGUAUGAUAAUUUGCAAGAGGAGUGUCAUUAAGAUAUGCUACAUGAUAACAUGAACAUUUCUCGUCUUAUGAUUCAUACCCAACAUGUAGAAGAGGCAAUGGCUAAAAGGAAGAUUAGAGAUGCUAAGAGGGCAAGAUCUUUUGAUUGUGGUUCUUCAAAGAGAAGUCUUGAGAUACAAUACAAGCUUAGGGUUAAGAAGAGGGUUUAUAAUCAUGUUUCUUCUAAGUUUCCUAAGUCUAGGGAGUAUAGUGUGUCUAACCCUAAGCCUAAGAAGGUAAAGGAUACUAGUUCACCAACCGAAAAGCCAACUGUAGAAAGUGUGGCAAGAAGCACUAUUAUGAUUGUCUUAAGGGGACGAACUAUUGUUUUCGGUGUAGUAUAAGUGCGCACAAGGUUAGGUUUUUCCCUAAUGUGAGGGUUAAAGACAAGGGUAGUGGUUAAUAUCAAGCAACUGGUUCAAAUGGGGCUUCAUAGAAAAACCACUUCUAUGCUCUCCGCUCAAGAGAUAAGCAAGACACUUCUCCUGGUACGGUGACCGGUAUGUUGAAUUUCUUCUCUAUUGAUGUAUAUUCCUUACUUGAUACCAAUGCUACCUUAUCAUUAGUUACUCCUCUAGUAGCUAAAAAGUUUGACAAUGUGCCCGAUAAAUUACAUGAACAUUUUAUAGUGUCUACCCCGAUGGAUGAGUCGGUUGUUGCAAAAAGGGUGUAUAGAAAUUGUCUUGUAAUGUUUCCCAAUAGAGUUUAUUAUGAUGAGCCAGUAAAACUUGAUAUUCUUUAUUUUGAUGUAUUUUUUGGUAUGGAUUGGUUGCAUUCUUACUUUGCCUCUAAAGAUGGCAGAACGAGGGUGGUGAAGUUUAACUUUCUAAAUGAGUCCAUUUUAUAGUGGAAGGGGGGAUAGUCUAUCCCUAGAGGUCGUAUAAUCUCUUGUUUGAAAGCAUGAAAAAUGAUCUCUAAAAGUGUUUAUAUCAUAUAAUAAGAGACCAAGUCUCUAAUAUGUGUUUACCCAAAAGGAGUUUAAUCUCUGACAAAGAAGGUGGUUUGUUUGUUGAAAGAUUACGACAUAAAUGGUCUCUAUCACCCGUGCUAGGCUAAUGUGGUUGCGGAUGCUAUAAAUUGUAUGACCAUGAAUAGUGUGUAUAACAUAGAGGAAUCCAAUAAUGACCUAGUGAGAGGUGUUCAUAGGUUAGCUAAAUUGGGUGUGAGGUUGAAAGAUUAUCUAAAUGGUGGUUUCGUGGUCCAUCAUAACUCUAACUAAUAAUUGGUAAUUGAGGUAAAGUCCUAACAACACCUUGAACAAUCAUUGAUGGAGGUGACGGAAUUGGUUAUUGGUAAACUUAAUAAGUCAUUCUCCUUAGGGGAGAAUGGUGUAUUAAGGUAUAAAGGAAGGUUGUGUGUUCCCAAUAUAGAUGGAUUGAGGAACUGGAUCCUUGAGGAAGCCCAUGGGUCCCCUUACUCCAUUCAUCCGGUUCAACAAAAAUGUAUCAUGACCUUAGAGAAGUAUUUUUGCUGGAAGGUUUCAAAAAGGACAUAGAGGAGUUUGUUGGUAAGUUUUCACAUUGCAAACAAGUGAAAGUCGAACAUCAAAAGUUGGGUGCCUUGCUAUAUGAAAUCCAAGUUCCUAUUUGGAAGUGGGAAGAUAUCAAGAUAGAUUUUGUAGUAGUUUAAUGUGUACUCAAAGGCAAUAUGAAUCUAUAUGGGGGAUUGUGGAUAGAUUGACCAAGUCUUCUCAUUUUAUUCUCGUCAAGUCUACUUAUUCGGCGGAAGAUUAUGCAAGGAUCUUCAUAGAUGAGAUUGUCUGUCGCCAUGGUAUUCCAUUAUGCAUCAUAUCGAAUCGGGGUGCACAAUUCACAUCAAGGUUUUGGAGAUUAUUCUAAGAAGGUUUGGGUACUAAAGUGAAGUUAAGCUCAUCCUCAAACGGAUGGUCAAGUGGAGCGCACUGUUCAAACCCUUGAGGAUAUGCUUAGAGAUUGUAUUAUUGAUUUCAAGGGAAAUUGGGAUAAUCAUUUGACUUUGGUGGAGUUUGCUUAUAAUAAUAGUUUUCAUUCAAUCCAUAUCCAGAGAUCCUUAUUAAGCCUUUUGUGGGAGGAAUUGUAGGUCUCCUAUCGGAUGGUUUGAAGUAGGUGAGACUUCGAUUCGUUGUCGUGACUUGAUUUAUAAGACUUUGGAGAAAGUUCAUAUUAUAAGGAAUCACUUGCCAACGUCUUAUAGUAAGCAAAUGUCUCAUGCCGAUCAUAGGAGAAUGGAUUUAGAAUUUGAAGAAAUUGAUAAGGUGUAUUUGAAAUUUUUGCCUAUGAAAGGGGCGGUUAGAUUUGGCAAAAAAGGUAAGUUGAGUCCUCGUUAUGUGGGUCCCCAUAAAAUCUUGCAAAGAGUUGGUAAAUUUGCCUAUGAAUUGAAGCUUUCUAGUUAAUUGACUUUGGUUCAUCCGCAUUUCCAUGUUUACAUGCUUAAGAACUGUAUCGGUGAUCACGAGUCUAUUCUUCCUAUUGAGGGUCUAAGUGUUAAAGAUAACCUCUCUUAUGAGGAGGUUACGGUAGAAUACUUGAUAGGCAAGUAAUGAAAUUGAGGAAUAAAGAAGUGACUUCUGUAAAGUUGUCAUGGAAGAAUCACCUAGUUGAGGGUGAAACAUGGGACGACGAGGCCGACAUUAAGUCAUGUUACCCUCAUAUAUUUGAUAACUAAGGCUUGUAGUUCUUACUUAUAAUGAAAAUAAUGAUUAAAAUUGAUGUUUCUUUCAUUUUUAGUGAAGUUUUGCAAAAGGUGCAUUUCUGAUAUCAUUACACUGAAUUACAGUUAAUGUGCAUUUUUACUUGAAUUUUGUUUUUCAAUUUUUCUUAUUUUAGUCAAUUGGUACAUUUUCAUAUGGUGAAUCUUUAUUAAAUGACAUGUAUCAUGUUGGUAGGUUGAAAUUUGGCAUAAUUGACUCAUAAGUGCUAUGUUGAGUUGUUGAUGUUGUGAGAAGGAUAUUCCUCAUAAUGUAAUGUUGAUUUUCAUGUGUGGUAAUUGAUGAUUUUUGAAUUUCCUUGUGUAGUUUAUAUGGUUGAUGUUUUUAUAUAUUGUUGUUUGUUGGGCAGCUAGACUUGAAUAUAUACCUUCCUUCUAAAGAAGAAUGUUCCUAGGGGGGAUAAUGUAACAUUUCGAUAAUCCAAGCUAGUUCUAUAGCCUAACAUAAAAGUCCUAAGGAUUAGACACUGUUUUAAGGUCCAUUUUAAUUAUUAUAAGUCAUUUAGUAAGUCUAGAAACCAAAACGUCCAUGACAUCCGGAAACUAGUUCAAGGAGGUACUAGUGUGCCUUAGUCUAUUUCACUAGCUUUUAGAAGUCAGAAAAUUAUAAAUAUUUGUGGAAGGGUUUCUAACAUGUGUUUAAGGUUAUUUGUUGUCGAAACGUCCGGGUACAAAUCCCCAAGUACAAACCAAUGGCCCUUGAUGAGGACCCUUGCAAUAUUGGGCAAAACCUGUAGAAAGAUAGUUUCACCAACGGAUGCCACCGACGGACUAUUGGUGAAUCGACGGGGCAUGGAUGGUAACUUAGAAGAAAUCAAGGAUGGGUCAUUUUGAAUAGUAUAUGAACUUAUGUAUGGAUGUGCAGCAUGGAAGGAGGGACUGGCCGUCGAUGGACUAACAAUCCGUCGAUCAGUGUCUCGUUGAAAAGGUCUAUAUUUUUCUGCACAUUUUGACUUCAUCCUUUUAAUUACAGCACUUGGUUUGGAAGUUAUUUAGGGGUUAGGUAAAGAAUAAUUAAGUUAUUUAACCCCCUAUAUAAAAUCCUAACCUAAAUAAGAUUAACUAAACUCUCAUAACUAACAAACCCAAAACUCUCUUCCGUCACUCUUCUUUCUCUCUCUAGAGAAAACACCAUAGAAGACCAAACUAGGGGAAGGUUUUAGGGAUGAAAAAGGUGAAUUUUCACCAUUAAUAUUCAUUAAUUAGUGAAGUAUGAUAUCUAAUUAACCUUUGAUACCUCUUUUGAAACAUGUACUCGUCUAAUGAAGAGUCUAUUAUGUUUUAAUAAUAGUUAUUGGGGUAAAAAGGCAUUCCAAUGCCCAAUAUUGAGUAAUAUUGGGAGUAUUAGAGAAUAUUGGCUUAAGUGUGAUAGCCAAUUUCUAUGUAUUAAAAUAUAUUUUGAUGUUCGAAUUCCCCGAUUCAUGCUUGUAUAGGAAUUAUUCCUUCUAUGAAGAACAUAAAAUAAAAUGCUUAAUUCCUUAACUUACAAAUUAGGUACUAGGCAUUCAAGUGUCAAGCCUAGGUACCAUAGCACAUGAUCAUUUAAAAUGAUCAUGUAUAGUCAUCAAAUGCCAAGGAUAUAGUGAGUAUCCUUGGGAAAACAAGAAAUGAAUAGCAACACAUGUUCAAGCAAAUGUGCGAACCGGCCAAGGGAAAAGCCGAACCGAAUUCGAUUACGGUAGUUGGGUGGCAGGUGUUCACACAGAUCAAGCCAUGUGGGGCCUAGAUUCCUAAUAAACUCUAGGCUAUAACUAACUUACAUAAUUAGAUAACUAACCUAUGACUAACCUAAAUUAACCAACUAGUGUGACCAAGAUCCUAAAAUCUAACCGGCUGACACUAGCCGGGUAACUAAUUCAAGAAACAUCCUAGUACCUAACCUAGGAUGGUCCAAAGGGGUUGAUAAUGGUCCUAAUGACUUAGGGGUACAUUAGUAAUUACCCUAGGUCACUUAAAAAAUUAAAUUAGCAACUUAAUUAAUUAUUUAAAAUUCAAGGUCCAACUUGAAAACCUUAGGAAAAUUUCAGAUUUGGCUAAGUGAAAUGUUCUCCUAUUUUUAGUCAAAUUAGGAGGGGCGUUUUGUUAAUUAGUUAAUUAACUUAUUUAGUUAAGUGAUUAUUCUAAGUUGAAUUAGUCAAUAUCAGUUCCUAAGAAGUAUACUCACCGAUUAAUCAAUCGAAAAGCACGAUUCUAAAACAGUAAGCAAGCGGGAGAAAUACAAAAAAUUUCUCUCAAUUCUUCUUAGGCGAUUUCAAUGCAAUUCUUCAAGAUCAUUUGUGCAAAGUAUGGGGUGAUCAUGGUAAAUUCAAUUCUAUAGUAAGGUAUGGGUUAUAUCUCUUGGAUUCCUUUCCCCAAGAGGCUUUUCAAAUGUUUUGAAUUCAAGAGAUCUGAAACUACGGUUGUUCCUAAUGAAUUCUUUGAAUGUUCAUCUGCCUAGUUCUACCUAUUUUUGACUUCUAGUAGUAUGUAUGCAAAAUCUAGAGCAUGUUGUUGGUAUGUCAUGCUAACUGAUCAUUAUGUAUAGGUUUCUAUGAUUUAAUAACGUCGAAUAAGACCUAUAGGUUAGAACCCUAUGAUUGAUGCCUAAUUGUGGUCAAAAAGAUGAAAUUGUGAUAAGUCGUUUAUGAAAUUCAGGUUACUGUUUAAAAGUGAUGAUGGUUUUUGAAUUACUCGGUGUUUACAAUAGAUAUGUUUGUAAUUGUUUGGAAUGCAAUUUUUCCUAGAAGAAAUAAGAUGUUAAUCAAAGCUAAUUAAGGAAUCUUCAAUGCCAAAUCAACUUUAUAGCUUGGCCAAAUUAAGCACUGAAUUGUUCUUUUGAUGAAAAGUUGGCUUGAUUAAAAUGAUGAAAUCAGUAUGGUAUAUGCAUAAACUUAAUUUGCAUGGCUAGUGAUAAUCUCAUAGUUUUAUUUAUGCCAAUAAAUUGGCUUAAUAUGUUAUUUCCAAAACAUGAUAUAAAAAUUGCCUAAUGACUUAAUUGUACCAAAUUAAGCAUGACCAAUGUAACCAAAUAUAUUCAUAACCAAGGGUAUGUCAAUUAUUGGGACAGUCCCAAUAUACCCUAUGCAAAUGAACUAUGAAUAUAGUAGUACAUUGAAUAAGUUUAUAACUUUCAUAAACAAUGGUAUAAGGCUACCAAAUAACAUUGAGGAAGAUAAGGUGAGUAAUGACAAAUCUAAAAGCUUAUGAGUUAUGAAAUUUACCAGAAUGGGGUGUUAAAGGAAUUGAGACAGGUCUCACUUGCACCUAAACGAAAAUUGUAAAGAUACUCACGUAAGAGGAUGUUGGAAAUCGUGAGACAAGUCUCAUUACCACCAUGAUAACAAUGUAAGGUUUACGUUCAUAUUCUUCAAGUAAAAAAAGCAAUGACAAGUUAUCCAUUGAAUUAACCAUACCUCAUGUUAGAAACAAGCUUCCAUAAUUUAUGAGUCAACUCUAAAAGUUAAGAAGCAUAUGAAAUUGAGCAAAGAGACGAUAGACUAGCAAUGAGCUUGUGCAAGCACAUAUAAGCCUCAUGAGAUGAGGCUACCACUAAGGUAGAUUAGUAGUCUCCGGAAUCUCCUAGUCAUUGAUCUAUGUUGCCAACGUAGGAACUAUCCAAUGGAUUCCACCUAUGAGAGUUCACAAUGGCAGUUGAACCACCCUUUUUCAGUGUGGGGAAGACACUGAUUUCAUAUUUAGCUCACAUAAUCUAUGUAUGUUAAUGCUCAAAGAAAGUAUUCGGUUUAGCUUUAGUAGUGACCCACCUCUUUUUGAUAUGGGGAAGACACUAGACAUGAUUUCACUUUAGCCGGUGAACCACCCCUUUUCAGUUUUGGCCAGACACUGGAUUUCAUGUUUACACCCAUGAUCUAGGUUCACUUUUAUUAGUGAACCACCCCUUUUCGGGGUGGGGCAAACACUGGAUUUCAUAUUAGCUCACAUGAUCUUAAUGCUAAAGAUUUUUUUAAGAAGGUAAGAAAGAAUGAAGAAGAAAUAUAAGUUCAUAGUGAACUAAGAAAGCAAGAGCUUAAGAAUAUCAAUUAUCACUGUUUGAUAAGAAUGAUGUUUUAACAUGUUCAGGGCAUAGACAAUAAAGAUUGGCUUAUACUGACUUCUAAUAUUAUGCAAAUGAUCAAAUAAUGGACAUAGCCAAUAAUAUGAAUAUAUGUGCCCCAACAACUUUAUAUUAUUAAAAAUGAUCAAAUAAUGGGCAUAUAAAAUAAUGAUUGGUUGAUAAAGACUUCAGGCCCAAUUUAACAAGAAUGGAGGAAAUAACUUGUGGGUAGAGUAGCCAAAUCAUUUCCUCGGUAUUUUGGAUUACUUACUUAAUUCAUUGUAGGUAUGGGACUACAAUGAAUCAUUGCACUUGUAAGUAAAACAUAGGAUCAAAGAAGAUUAUUGAACUACACAAGAAAAAGAAGAAAAAUACUGGAAAAUAAACCAAGGCAUGGCGGAAGAAGCUCUCGGCCUAAGGGAGCAAAAAUAUUAACUUUUAUUUGAGUUGUUCUAAAAUUAUGUUCAUGAUUCCAAGUUCUUGUGUCCAUAUUCAAAAUGAGUUGUGUGAUUUAUAUGCAUAAAAAUAUGUCAUAUUCAUAGCAUGAUUCAUAAAUAACAAAUUAGGAAAGUAAAGUCUCUUAGCUUUCCAUAAAUGGCAUGUUACUAUAGGAAGAGCUUUCAUUGAUUAUAAAUAGUCCAUAUGUGUUUAUAUGCAUACACCCAUACUUAGUACAAGUGUGUACUAACCCCUAUACUAUUACUAUUUUCAUAGGUUCAUGUUCUUGAAGAAGAUUGAAGUUACGUUGAAACGGUUCAGCCUAGUAUCUCCAGACCUUAUGUUUAUUAUUAUAGCUUUAGUAUAUUAGACAUAUCUAGUGGAUGUUAUCCAUAGCGUUUCAUUUCAAACAUUUAUUCAAGCAUUUGUAAUAAGGUCGUUUGGAAAACUAUUAUUAUAUUAUGUAUUUAUUUUAAUUGUUUAAUCUAUUAUAGAUUGUUGUUUUGUUUGAGUUGUAAUAUAUCACUCUUAUUCAGUAAUUAUAUGAAGUCUAAGUUUAUACUUCACUAUGUUUUAAAAAGUUAUAAAUUUUAUGCAAAUUUAAUUGUAUGAUUGUAAUGAAAUCUAAGAAGAGGUUUGUCUGCUAACUCUGAUAGGUUAACAAUGUUUGUCUCAUCUAGGGUUUAUAUUCCGGGUGUGACAAACUUGGUAUCAGAGCAUGAGGUUAAAUUACUUAGCAACUAAGGCUCAAAACAACCACAUUGCGUAGUUUCUAAUUCAUGGUUGUGAAGUGCACCACAAUCAUGACUUAGAUACUAACUGGUGGUAGAAAUAUUCCCUUUUUCUACUCUUUAUUGUGCGGAGUUUUGACAUUUUGUUUCAUUCUAGCAUUUAACUUCAUUCUUGUGUGUGUGUGUGUAGAACAAUGAACACAAGGAGAAACGCAGAAAGAAGAGUUGAAGAAGAAGAAGUUGCUGUUGGAAACUAAGCUCUUCCUCAAGCCUAGGUGCUGGAGUACAAGUGCCUGUCAACACGGCUACGUUGACGGAUGGAGAAGUGAGAGAGGCACUAGUUAAAAUGUCCCAAGCCAUCACUACUCAGGCACAUGCUAUCACAGCCCAGGCCACUAGAAAGGGUGCUCCUAGUGAGAACCCACAUGCAAGCACCAUGGAUAACAGACUGAGGAUUUCACCAGAAUGAAUCCUCCAGUCUACUUUGGAUCAAGACCUAAUGAGGAUCCCAGGAGUUUGUGGAUGAGGUCUACAAAAUUCUCUGUGCCAUGGGUUUUAAUGAAAAGGAGAAGGCUGAGUUCGUUGCAUAUUAACUCAAAGACAUCGCUUAGGUGUGCUACAAAAUGUGGGAAGAUGGCCGAGCACCAAGAGAAGUCCCCAUCACUUGGUACAUUCUCAAGACUGCAUUCCUGGAAAGGUAAUUUCCCAAAGAGAAGGGAGAGUCUAAGGUUGAGGAGUUCAUGAACCUACGAUAGAUAGUUAUGUCUGUCAAGGAAUACUCCUUAAAAUUUGUUAAGCUUUCCAAAUAUGCUUCUUCCUUGGUGUCCAAUAGCAAGGAUGAAAUGAGUAGGUUUGUGACUGGUGUAUCGGAGGAUAAGGAGAAGGAAUGUCAGGCAUCCAUGUUGCAUGAUAACAUGGACCUUGGUAGGUUGAUGGUACAUGCACAGCAGGUAGAGGAGAGUCGUUGAAGAAAGAGAGGCCGAGAAGGCAAGAAGCCUAGGCCCUUGGAUCAAGCUGAUUCUAGCACUGGUAGGACUUCAUUUGGAGUCCAAAAUAGGCCCAAGUUCAAGAAGGGGCACCAGCACUCACGUAAUCCUGCUCCUUCUAGGAACAACAAUACCAAAGGGUUCAAGUCUUGUCGUAAGAAGGGCGAUGAUAUAAAUGCUCAGCAUACAACAAGUCAUGUGGUAAGUGUGGUCGUUUGCAUAUAGGUGAGUGUCUUGUAGGUAGUAAUGUCUGCUAUGGGUGCAGCAAGAGUGGGCAUGUGAUCAGGGACUCCCCACAUGCGAGGAAUCAGUCCUAGGCAGAUACUCAGCCUUGUCCUAAUCCUAAUGCUGCAGCUGAGCCUCCCAACAGAAACAGAUUCUAUGCUUUGAAAGGUACAGAGGAGCAGGAGAAGUCAGCUGAUAUGGUCACUAGUACGUUGAAUGUCUUCUCUGUUACUGUGUAUGCAUUGUUAGAUCCAGCAUCCACUUUGUCAUUUGUUACUUCUUUAGUAGAUAGUAAGUUUGAAUGUCGUUUAUAUGAUAAAUGUCUCUUAGUGAACUAAUGAAUGUAAUGACUUAAGUUAAUAAAGUUUGUUAAAUGAAUAAGUACUUAUCUAGAGUAGUUAAGGGUUAUCUAGUUAAGGUGUGAAGGGGGCAUAGGAAUAAUCACUUCUUAUAUUACCUUGAUAAGUCUUAAGAAUGACUCUAGUAAGGGAAGAUGAUUGUUUAUAUGGACAUGAUCCAAAUUUAGGUAUUCUUAAGGAUUGCCUAGGUAAUCUUGGAUAGAUCAUAUGGACAUUAUCUUCUUGAUUUACUUAAGUUGGUCUUUGGAUAACCUUGGUAGGGGAGAAUGACAUGUAUAUGUGCAAGCUAAUGUAUUAAGUGAGAAUGAUUCUGUCUUAGGCAGCCUAUUGGAUCUCUUAAUUGCGUGUUUAAGGGAUUGUAUGGGCAGUCGCUUCACAACUCACACAAGUGAACCUUAGAAUCACAUUCAGUAGGAGGGUCUUAUGAUGAUAUGUUUUUAUGUCUUGUAAAUGUAUGUUGAACUCAUUAUGGGUGGUCUUAGGGAUCAUUUAGGUGUCCCUAGAGUUUGUGUAUCGGCGGUAUCUGCUUGUAUUACUUAAGUGAGUCUUAGAAUAGCUUUUAACGAGGGACUUAUACGUUAAAAUGUGUGUCAAAUGAAGCUAAAUAUCUUAACAAUAACAGUGAAUCGAGUUCACUUUAUAGUAAAGUGAGUUCACUAUAACUUUUACUAAAAUGUGACUAUUUCCUUAAAUGAUUUUUAUGUGUUUCUAAGUUGUUAAAUGUUGUUAGAAUGCUUAAAGUAUUAUAUUUUAUUCAAAAUAAUGAAAAUCAUUAUUAUUUAUUAAAUUUCCCCUUUUCAUGGUUUUUGCAUGGCUUCCAUACUUAAUGCCUAUAAUGUGGUAACCCCUUCUUAUCCUUUUUGACUAGAGUGCAGGGAAUUUGAAAACUUGAUGUGCCAUAGAGGAAGGAUAGAUUUAUAAGGCUUGAAUAUGAAGUAUUGGUCAAUCCUCAUCGAUUGGAGGACAACAUCCACAUGUACCUUAUGUCAUAGUCUUUAUUUUACUGUCUUGUAUGGGAUUAUUCCAAAGUGUUGUAUACUCUAAGAUUUAGGGAGAUGUAAUCAAGGUUGAAUGUUUCAAAAGAAAGUCUUCCACUUGUGCAAUUAUUAGGAAAUCAGUUUUUCGUGUGUGAAAUUUCUAUCAUUAAAACAUAUAUAGAAAGUCUUCUGCUUGUAUACUCUAUGUUCUAUGGUGUACUUGUGGGUCGUGGCAUUUAUAUGAUUAAAUCGUAUUAUGUAUUUUCAAUUAAUGUAAAGGGUCUUGUCCUUAAGAUAUUUAUGUGGGUCUUUAAGUUGGCUUGUGAAAAUGACAUCAAUCCCUAGCUUUUAUGAAAGACGUUUUCCUAAUUAAUUUAUUUGUGAAAAGUUUUAAUUCUUCACUACUUUUCAUGUCUUAUGUAAUGAAUGAUACAUAAUGCUUGUACAAGACCUCUGAAAGGUUAAUAAGCAACUGUUCCGACUUAAGGGUGCUCCCUUAUUCUAGGAGGUACUUUCGGGUCGUUACAAUUUUCAUUAAGGGUUCAUUGUGCAAAAACCUUCAAGUCAGACAAAGGCAAGCUCAAUAUCACUGAAAAAGCAAAUAAGCGCUCAUACUUCAAUGCACAUAUACUUGACUAAAGUAAACCAAUAAUAAUCCUUAUCAGUUAGACAUUGUGCCAUGAUGGCUAUACUCAACCUUACAAUGAUAAGUUAUGUUUAAGGAGGAAUAUCCUUCUCCUCAACAUACUUACAUGUCUCCUCAGUUCAUACACAAGCAAUGCACAAAGGUCAAUUCAUUUUAAAUAAGAAGUUCUCAACUUUUAACCAAAGCAUGGUCAUACAUCAUUUCUAGUGAAGUCAAAAUGGUGAGUCAUACCACACACAUUACAACAAUAGGUAUUCAUUGAACAUGGUUUCACUUUCUAGCAAAACACUACCUUUCGUAAACAUGCAUCACUUAGUAAAAACUUUUGCAAUGCAAUUUAUAGGCACCCACAAGGAUAUUGGCUAGUCAUGCUUUCACUUCUCAAACCAUAAAACCAAGAUAAGCAUCAAAACUCACAUGUUUCUCCAUCAAGCAUAGAGAUAGCACCUCAUCCAACAAUCACAUCUAAAAGACCACCGGACAAAAAAAAAGACAGAGAUCUUAUAGACUUAAAUUCUAUGUCACAACAUGAGAAUUAUGAAGAACAAAAAAUCUAUCUUCUAUAGCCUCUCUCUCUCAUGGAUGUUUUGUGCCUCACCACCAAUGAAAGAGACUUUACUAGACGUGCCAAUAUGAGACUUUUUGACCCUAAAAUCACAUUUAUAACCUCAUGCUUUGAUAUCACAUUUUUUAUGACAAGGGAGCCCCCCUAGUAGUUACAUUUUGUAUUUGACCUCACAGAGGUCUUAAACAAUCCCAUAGUUAUCAUUCAUCGCAUUUUCAUAGGUAAAUUUAGCAGAAAAUUUAAAACUUUCAUAGAACAUCAUAUCCUAGAACAUCCCUUCAAUUAUAUAGAUAAAAUAUCACAUUUACAUAGUAAGACUCUAUGUCCCUUUCCCAUCAUAGAAUCAACAUCAUUAGAGUACAUUAGGGACAUGACCCUUAUAAAAAAAUAUUAUGUGCAAUUGCAUAACUUUACAUAAACAUAAUGUAGGAAAUCCUUGAAACAUAAGCAUCCUUUUCCAUGAGUUUGGGAAUCACAUAUCAAGCCCUUCACCUUAGAGACAUCCUUUAAGCUUUCAUAACUUACACUUUGUAUAAAAAGGUGAAGAAGAAUUGUUUUAGUACAAGAAUGCACUAUGUAUGACAACCUUGCAUGUAAACAGGACAUUUUUCUUUGAAACCAUGCAUCAUGCCUUUUUAUAAAAACUUCAUAAACUUUGAUACCAUAUGCAUCGUACAAUUCGCAUACUUCAUAGACAUAUACAAUAGUCACAACAUCACCUAAACCCAUAAAAUGCAUUUAAGGCAUAACCGACAUCACUUCAUAGUAAUUACCAUUUCCUUUACAGUAAGCUUCUUUUUUUCUUUAUAGUAAACUCUUUUUUCUUUUUAAUUCAUUAACUUUCCAAGUAACCCUCUAGUGAUACUUUGUGCAAUGUAUAGAUGAUUUCCCAUUACACUAUCCACAAUCAAAUAUCACCUUAAAUCCUCUAGGUACUCGUACAUACAACCUUCAUUAACCCAUCACAUAAAUUUAUAAAACAUUUCAUAUAACAAGAUAUAUACCUCAUAUUUGACCUAACAUACUUUAUGGACCACAUAGAAGAACUCAUUAAAAAACCAUAUACAAGUAAAGACUUCCAACAUCAUCAUAGUAAGACAAUAGUAAAUGUUAACAUACUUGAACUUCACUUCAAAGAGACAUUAUAGAACCCUCCUCAUAAUCUCAUUCUAAGACUACUAGUGCAAUGUACAUGUUAAGUCACAUAACCUCACACAUUCUAAGUAAACCUACAAAGACACUACAAUCCUUAACAUGUACUUCAUACAUCAAUCACUAUACUAUAGUCAACUACAAGCAUACCAAGAAAGACCUUUAUCAUAUAGUCUCAAUAGGACUCGUACCAUGCAUAUCCUUACAAGUAGUAGACAACAUUACAAUGUAUGUCACAUCGUGAGACCAGACCCUCGAAGAUAUGGCAUUCUCGGAGUGCAAAUGGUUUACUUGACCUCUCGGAGGUCUUGUACAAACCCUUUCAUAUCGUUCAUCAGAUAUAAACAUAUGAUAAGUAGUUCAGAAUUAAAACUUUUCACAAACAUUCUAUAAGGCUUUAAAAUCUCUUUCAAAUUAAACUCAUAGGAAAUACUAAGUCUCAUUUCAUCAAAUCUUAGAUAUAAGAUUACAUUAAGAUAGGACCAUACAUAAUAGAAAUAUAGUACUACGUAGUCUAUUACAAUACUUUGAUGAAGGAAAUAAAAGACAUCUAUCCCCUCGAGUCAAAUGAGGACAUAAUUCAACUUGCUAUAACGAUCUUCUAAUCAAAGCAUAGAUCUCCAAAAGAACCUUCACCUAUGAAUCACUUUGGAGAUAGAUUAAAGAAUGGAAUUAAUACAUCCACAUGUACUAAGUAUGGCAUAAUCUAUAAAAGUCAUGAAAAUGGACAUUUAUUUGAAAUAUGCAUGUUUUUAAUUUAAAUAUCAUAAUAUAAUACCAAUAACAACAUUUAAAACCUUAGAAACUCAUAAGGGAUCACUUAAUUAAUUUAUGACAUUUUAAGGAACAAAUUUCCAAUAAACUACUUCAUUAUACAGUGAACUUCUUCACUGUUUUGAACUUCUCCUUCCAAAGGCUAACAAAAUACUUAUUUAAGUAAAUCAAUUAGAUAACUUCCAUUAUUCGCCUCUUAAAGAUUAUCUAAAUAAUCCUUAAUACUAUCUAAGUCUUAUAUUCUUUCUACAUAAUCAACUAUCUUCCCUAAAUAGAGUCAUUAUAAAGACUUAUCUAGGUAUGAUACAAAGUGACCAUUCCUAUGCCCCCUUCACACCUUCACUAGACAACCCUUACCUACUCUAAAUAAUUACUGAUUCAUUUAACAUGUUUUAUUAACUUAAGUCAUUACAUUCAUUAGUUUAUUUAAGACUGAUUCAUCGUAUAAGGACAUUCAACUAAUGGUAUCCGACAAGACCUAGGGACUCUAACUAACACCUUCACAGCCUAUUGUGCAAUAGCUACAUAGCGUCCCAUACCACCACCUAGAGUUUAUAAAACUUCUCUAGUUGUAUUAGGUAUCCCUUAUGAUGUGAAUAGGCAAUAACUGACAUAAACCAUGAUAGCUAAAUACGGAAUGCGGAGUUCUAACCUACUAUAAUGACGGUGUUCUACUUGCCAAGGGUAGAACUAAAACACAUCCCAUGUAGGCACAUGGUUAAGGAAUUGACGGGCUUUUAUGCACUUUAGUCUCAUUCUCAAGUAGAGAUACACAUUGUACUCUAGUCUAAUUAUGAAGUAAAGAUACUUCUCAUACAUACUCACUCGGUGCUAGCCUUUGUUGUCAUAAAGUCAUUUACAUUAAAGGUUCAUACAAAGGGGUCUCAUAUCUAGUUCAAAACUCAAUAACAUUCAACCUACCAAAGAGGUCCACUAGGGAUACAUUACAAUGGUGACAAAGAUAGCUCAUUAUGAAUUUUCUAACGAUGAUAUGAUUUUGUUCCAACAAACUAACACCUAAGCCCAUCAUUCAUUACAACAAGGAUACCAUUAUGCUUUAGACUUCAAGGUUCAUAGCCUUUCAACUAGGUUUAUGGUUCCACGUACUUGACCUUUGUAACAUCAUUUAAGGUCUCACAUAUCAUUCAUUCAUACAUGAAAGGGUUGCACUAAGUUUACCUAGUCAAGACAUCUCAUAUUCACAUAUCAUUCAAACAUGUAUCAAGUAAGGGACAAAAGUCUAUAAAAAAAGACACAACAUUCUUCACAUUAUAACAUAUAACAUAUCAUUCCUUGAAGCACUUAAGAAUGACCCUUGUAAUCUUUAUGAAAUCCUAAUAAUUACUAUAAAAUCAUCAAUAUAACCAUCAUAGACUCAUAUAGUCAAUUAAGAACAAUCUUGCAUCAACUCUAAGACUACACUCAUAAAAACAUACUCAUAGUCUAACAAGAUCUCCUAAUAUACGUAGAAAGAACAUAUACUUGCUACAACGAUCUUCUAAUAAAAGCUUAGAUCUCCAAAAGAACCUUCACCUAUGAAUCACUUUGGAGAUAGAUUAAAGAAUGGAAUUAGUACAUCCACAUGUACUAAGUAUGGCAUAAUCUAUAAAAGUCAUGAAAAUGGACAUUUAUUUGAAAUAUGCAUGUUUUUCAUUUAAAUAUCAUAAUAUAAUAAUAAUAACAACAUUUAAAACCUUAGAAACUCAUAAUGAAUCACUUAACUAAUUUAUGACAUUUUAAGGAAGAAAUUUCCAGUAAACUGCUUCACUAUACAGUGAACUUCUUCACUGUUUUGAACUUCUCCUUCCAAAGGCUAUCAAAAUACUUAUUUAAGUAAAUCAAUUAGAUAACGUCCAUUAUUCACCUCUUCAAGAUUAUCUAAAUAAACCUUAAGACUAUCUAAGUCUUAUAUCCUGUCUACAUAAUCAACCAUCUUCCCUAAAUAGAGUCAUUAUUAAGACUCUUCUAGGUAUGAUACAAAGUGACCAUUCCUAUGCCCCCCUUCACACCUUAACUAGACAACCCUUACCUACUCUAAAUAAUUACUUAUUCAUUUAACAUGUUUUAUUAACUUAAGUUAUUGCAUUCAUUAUUUUAUUUAAGACUCAUUCAUCGUAUAAGGACAUUCAACUAAUGGUCUCCGACAAGACCUAGGUGUUAUGCCUCGUAUUUUUUUAUACGUAGUGCGCAUCGUGAUCUAGAAGACGUAAAGAAAUAUUAGGCAAGGAUGUUAUUUCCAAAUGUGAUAUUAAGUAUGAGUUGGCUAAUGUAAGUGCCAUUAACUUUAAGUGAGGGAUUAAUUAGUGGCUAAUUUUGAUUGAUUUAAUCUAAUGGGCCCCACCACUCAUAAUUGGUGGCUGAUUAGGAUUAAUUUAAUCCAGUGGGCCCCACCACUCAAGGCAAAAAUUAAAAAGGGAUCAGAUUGUGGGCUGGCCUUAGUGGACAGGUGUAGAGGGGGGCUGCCUCCAUUUCAUACUAUUAAAUGAGGUGGAGAAAUCCACUCCAUGCUAAAUAAAGUGGUGAAAUGCAUUGCUGCAUAUCAUCUUCUUCUUCACCACUUGUCUUAGGCAGCCAUGGAAAUAGAGAAACCAACCCUGCAACUCUUGGUCAGCAGCUGCAAAUAAUUUGGUUAGUAAUCUCCUUGUUUGGUGUGUUAAUUCUUUAGAAUACCCUUAUUAAUUAUCCAUUAAUUUUAAGAAGGGGGCGUGACCAGUAGCUUAGGAAGUUUGUUUUAGUUAUUGAAUGUGCUAAGUAUGAAUGGAAAUCAUAAUCGGAUUAUUAGUGGUGUCGUGUUGGUGCUUGGGCUGUUUUGAUUAAAGCAAACUGCAGGAAAAUUCUGUUUUGGCAUUAUGUAUAUGUUGAAUGUGAUUAUGAGUAUAUACUCCAAAGGAUGAAUACGAUAAGGUAGAUGUGUUGCGAAUUAUUAAAUGAGUUAUCGCUCGGUGUGUCGUUGCUUCGCUGCUAUGGUUGCCGAGACGGAACUGUUUUGGGGAGGGGGCUGUUUAAUAUGAUUCUUUGGGUUAUAUGUGUUAUUGGUAUUGCUGUGGAUAAUUUGUAUUGUUGUCGGAUUGGGACGAAGUAAGGAAAAUAGGGGAGGUGCUCCCGAAUUUUCGUUAGAUUAUUAGCUAGCUUACAAGAAAGUAAAGCACGAUGUUUAUCUAAUUGCGGCACGAUUGUUGCUUGUUAUAGAUUAAUAGCUUGAGCAGUAAAUAUUGGACGUGCGGCUCGAUUAUACGGUAUGUAACGCUGUCCCUUCUUUCUUUGCUUGGCAUGACUUUUAAAAAUAAGCGAAUAACGGACAGAUUUGAUACUUACCUCUAGAGCGUCUAGGUGACGUAUAUUCUUGCUUCCACAAUUAUUCCUCUAUAGAUCGGCUAUGUCUAAGGCUAUGAUGAUCUCUAAUAUCUAUGGUAAUGCUUCUUAGAGUCAUUGAGAUGUUACGUUUCCAUAUCGUAUUAAAGGUUCAUAAUCUUGAUAAAACAUUAAUCUUUGGUAAUACUCCUUGCUGGUUCACAUUGAUUGUUCUAUUGAGUUAUAAGAAAUGAUUUUAAUUGCAUAUGGUUGCUCAUAAUAUUCUGCUCGUGCAUAGAGUCAUUUAUCAUUUCACCGAGUCCCGGGCCGGGUAAUGUUCGUGCGGAGUUUCUUGCAUAUGUCACUGAGUUCCUCACUAGAGGGUCGGUUAUGUAUAUUAUAUAUAUGAUUGGUGAUGAGGGUGGUUAUGAUGAUGAUGAUGACGGAGAUGACGUGAU